AGUGCCAGAUCAGGGAGCUGUCGGCUCAGCGCCCACGCCCCUCCGCUUCAGCUCCGGGGAGCCCCAGGGUGGGCUGCUGGAAGGCGCGACUGCAACUUGAUUUUGCCUCACUGUUGUUGCUGGCAGAAUACGUACACCAAUGCGGACAAGCUCCUAGAAGCAGCAGAGCAGUUGGCUCAGACGGGGGAAUGUGACCCCGAGGAGAUCUACAAGGCAGCUCGACACCUGGAGGUGCGCAUCCAAGACUUCGUGCGCAGGGUGGAGCAGCGGAAGCUUCUCCUGGACAUGUCUGUUUCCUUCCACACACACACCAAAGAGUUGUGGACAUGGAUGGAAGACCUUCAGAAGGAGAUGUUGGAGGAUGUCUGUGCAGAUUCUGUGGAUGCAGUCCAGGAACUGAUCAAGCAGUUCCAGCAGCAGCAGACCGCCACUCUAGAUGCCACACUCAAUGUCAUCAAGGAAGGCGAAGACCUUAUCCAGCAGCUCAGGGACUCGGCUGUGUCCAACAACAAAACACCCCACAGCAGCUCCAUCAGCCACAUCGAGUCGGUCCUGCAGCAGCUUGAUGAUGCCCAGGUGCAGAUGGAGGAGCUGUUCCACGAGCGGAAGAUCAAGCUGGACAUCUUCCUGCAACUGCGCAUCUUUGAGCAGUACACCAUCGAGGUGACAGCAGAGCUAGACGCCUGGAAUGAAGACUUGCUUCGGCAGAUGAAUGACUUCAACACAGAGGACCUAACCCUGGCAGAACAGCGGCUGCAGCGCCACACAGAACGGAAGCUAGCCAUGAACAACAUGACCUUUGAGGUUAUCCAGCAGGGACAGGAUCUGCACCAGUACAUCAUGGAGGUCCAGGCAUCAGGAAUUGAGUUGAUCUGUGAAAAAGACAUUGAUCUGGCAGCCCAGGUGCAAGAGUUAUUGGAAUUUCUCCAUGAGAAGCAGC
rnacentral:sRNA from 1 species